CCUACGGGUGGCAGCAGUGGGGAAUAUUGCACAAUGGGGGAAACCCUGAUGCAGCGACGCCGCGUGAGUGAAGAAGUAUUUCGGUAUGUAAAGCUCUAUCAGUAGGGAAGAAAAUGACGGUACCCGAAUAAGAAGCCCCGGCUAACUACGUUCCAGCAGCCGCGGGAAUACGUAGGCGGCAAGCGUGAUCCGGAUUUACUGGGUGUAAAGGGAGCGUAGACGGCAGCACAAGUGUGAAGUGAAAUGCCGGGGCUUAACCCCGGAACUGCUUUUGAUACUGUGCAGCUAGAGUGCAGUAGAGGUAAGUGGAAUGCCUGGUGUAGCGGUGAAAUGCGUAGAUAUUAGGAGGAACACCAGUGGCGAAGGCAGCUUACUGGACUGUAACUGACGUUGAGGCUCGAAAGCGUGGGGAGCAAACAGGAUUAGAUACCCAGGUAGUC
rnacentral:rRNA from 1 species